rnacentral:rRNA from 1 species
GACGAAGGGGGCUAGCGUUGUUCGGAAUUACUGGGCGUAAAGCGCGUGUAGGCGGUUGGCCAAGUCCGGUGUGAAAGCCUUGAGCUCAACUCAAGAAAUGCACUCGGUACUGGGUGACUAGAGGACCGGAGAGGAUAGUGGAAUUCCCAGUGUAGUGGUGAAAUACGUAGAGAUUGGGAAGAACACCAGUGGCGAAGGCGGCUAUCUGGACGGUUUCUGACGCUAAGACGCGAAAGCGUGGGGAGCAAACAGG